rfam:Ciona savignyi cont_17901, whole genome shotgun sequence.
GUUGGUUAUGGAGAUAUGAAGCCGAUCACAGUUGCUGGUAAAGUGGUCGGUUCACUUUGCGCCAUCGUCGGCGUUCUCUUCAUCGCUCUGCCAGUUCCGGUCAUCGUGUCCAAC